rnacentral:tRNA from 1 species
GUUCCUGUAGCGCAAUGGAUAGCGUAUUGGACUUCUAAUCCAAAGGUCGUGUGUUCGAAUCCCACCUGGGAUA